GUCAGUAGCCAUAUCACCCUGCAACUCACAACUGGCAACCCACUGAAGCUAAGCAGGUGUGAGCCUGGUCAUUGCCUGGAUGGGAGACCUCCUGGGAAAAACUAAGGUUGCUGCUAGAA
ensembl:rRNA 5S_rRNA 5S ribosomal RNA